UCCACUUAAGUGGAUAUGUUAAUUAAGUAUUUGAAGUGCUGGUAAUUUACACGUUCUUCAAGAGACAUCUGAUCCCAUAAAAAUUGGUCUCUAUUUAGCAAUGUCAAGAAGAUAGAUAAAUGGACUUGUUUUAUUUUUCAAUGAUAAGCUAAAUGCUGAAUGAUAUCAAAACAUGACAAGUUUUUGUAGAUCAACUUCCCCAUGAUGAAUUGCAACAGAGAUAUUUUCAACAUGAUGAUGUUCCUGCUGUAAGAACAACAUAACAUAUUGAAUAGAAGAAUAUUAUGAAUGUCAACUGAUUAAUAGAGGAAUUUGACCACUAAGAUCUUCAGAUUUAAGUACUUUGGACUACUUUUAGUUUGGGUAUUUAAAGAAUUCAAUUUAUGGGAAUGGGAAUUGACACAGCAAUCGAAGAAUAAAAAGAUGCAAUUACAAAUGUCGUUCACACAAUGAACAACAAUUACAAUGUGUGUUUGAAAAGAUGAAAAAAAGAUGGAUCUUUGUGUAGUUAAUUGUAGAUUACAUUUUGUACAGUUCUUAUAAAACAAAAGGCGUAACCGAGUGUUGUGAAUCAUAACCAUUAUCAAUCAGUUAUUUAACAACAAAGGAGUAAAUACAAAGAACAUUUUGGUUAUGGAUUUCUUCUUCUUCUGUGUGGUUUCAUAAAACGGUUGUCAUAACUCUUCAGCAGCAGCCAAGGAUGUGUUUUUACCAAUGACAUUGCAUUAUUAAUAUAUAAAUAAUAAUAUUAGUUUAAGAUAAGUUUUUUGUUUGAAAAUUAUUUUGUGUAAACAAAUGUAAUAUUUACAUGACUAUUGUCUACAGGUAUACACUUGUGAAUCUAUUGUAAACAAUCUUGUUAUACAGGAUGAUUCAUUUAUAACCGUAACGGUGUUGUACAGGGUGUUCCAAAAUUGGCACAAAUAAAUGAUACUACAGUAAUGAUCAUUAUUAUAGCAACUUUUUAAAAUGUAAAAUAUUUAGCCUGGAAAAAAAUAAAAUAGUUUAUUUAAGGGUUGAUGUUUGGAGGUUGGGAUAGGCAAUUUUACCAGUCAGUGAGCCAUUUCUUCAGUGCAAACGGUUGUUUAAUAUAUCCCUUUUCAUGUCAGUCCAAGGUGGCCUACGCCAGAAGAAUUGAAGCAUCCCCAUAGCAUAAGAUUGACUAUAAGUUUUUUCAGACAAAUUUUUUCAUAGAUACACUUUGCCAGCUUUUCUAGCUAGAUAGAAGAAAACUAUAGAAACUAUAUAAAGAAUGAGUUGGAGAAUCCAAACAUUCUACCAAAAAAACUUCUCAUGAAGAUAGUAUUGAUAUUUAUGAUCACUCGGUGGAACAUAUUUUCACUUUGAAAUCCAUAAAUAUGAAUUCAAUUCUGAAGCUUUUAAAGAGGGACUACUCUUUGGAUACUGUUUUGAAUCUUGUGACUCGUCUUCUUCAGUUUUUAAUGAGUCUGUAUUUUGAAAUGAGGAGGAAGAGGAACUGGAAUUAUACUGGAUCUUACUCUAAAAAGACAUACAAAGAAACCAAAAUACAAAGAACAAAAGAUGAGAAAAAGCCAAGGAAAGAAAACGAGAGUUUUGGUGAGCUUCAAAAAUAAAAAAUAUACCAUAGAUUAUUCGAAGAAGUAAGGAUGAAAUAUCAAUUAAAACACUUUCAAGGAAAGAAAAAAAAUGUAUUGGAGUUCAAUAAUUCCUUCCCAGUCUUCGAUUUGGAGCUACACCUAUUAACAUUCCUGAAUUGUAUUCAAAUUUAGUCGUAGUGAUUAAUGUCAAUUAUUUAAAUUUAGAUACGAGAUGUUAGUAAAAUUGUGGUUUAAUAUAGAAUUGAACCAAUCAAUU